AAGGGAUCUUAGAACCUAGGAAUAAGCUAGGAUCUAAAGGGAUGGGAAAUAUAAAAUGUUAGAGCUAAUAAAGACUUUAGAGAUAAAGUUUCAUUUUGCAAAUAAGGAAAAAGGAUUUGCCCUCCAGACAGGGGUAGGAGUUUAUCUGUUCAAGCUGAAGAGAAUGAAAUGAGUGGGGUUGUUUUUUGUAGCUUUAUAAUGGAAAAGAAGGAAAUAAAAAGGGAGAGAAUGACUGUUUGGGCUAGAUGGAAAAAAUUAUAACAGAAGAUGUAAAGAUGAUUCCUUUUUGCUUCUGUUUUUUUUUUGCCAAGAGUGGCUGUGAAGUGGUGGCAGUGGCUAGCAAUUUGUAUUUGCUUCACUUGAAUAAGCAGACCUACCCUGGAGGGAUUACUCUGGCUCUGACUAGUGAAGAAUUUGCCUGAGGAAUUCCUCAUUAUGGCCUGCCUAACAGAUGCUAGCAGGGCAGGCAUUACUGCCCCUGCUGUGUCAUUGGGCUUUUAUGAAGAACAAGUGGCAGAACAGGCAUGGAAAUAGUUUGGCCAAAUCCAAGAUGCUACAUUACCAGCCUCAGAUAUCAUACCCGAGUUAUGAACAACUUUUACAUACAGAAGACCAACCCAACACUAUCCUUGCUAGCACCUUAAAUUGAACAUACCCAACAACAUCUGAACUCAACAACUAUCCCCUCUCCCCCCAACCUAAACCUUCUCCUAAUUUCCCUAUUUCUGCUAACAAUAUCUUCAAUCUAUGUUGAUUUGAAACUUAAAGGUCAUCGUUGACUCUUCCUUUUCCUUCUAUGUCUACAUCCUAUGGAUUUUUACCUCUGCAAAAAUAAAAAUGACCAUGUAUUAAGGGUUUACUGUGUGUGUAGAGAAUUGUGUAUAACAUUGGGGAAAUAAUAAAGUUUAGGUAAGGCUGGCUUCUUUGCCUUUAGAAACUUAUGGCCUCGUUUGGGAUAAGACAACAUACAUAUGUACACAUGUUAUACAUAAGAAGAAAUGGAGGUCCACAUAUAUAUUUCACAACAUGUAAUAAUAUUACAUAUCAAAUGACUCAAGAGAAGUGCAAACAAAGUUCUGUUGUGUACAAGGGAAUUCUUUGUUCUCUUUGAGUUUAUACUUGUGAAAGGGAAUCCUUUAUUCUCUUUGCCUAGUUGAAGCUAACACUUUGGUUAACUCUCCUUUGUCUACCCUUUGAUUGAAACAACAAAAGCUUGAAAUAGGUAGAGAAGCUCAACCACUUAAAGAAUUCACAGCUUCAGAAACUCAAUUAGCCAGGAAUCUGUGAACCCUUUUGAUGAGUAUUCACCCCUCCAGAAGGUGAGAACUGGUUCCUACAAACAUUGCCCCAGGGGCAGUGCUAGACAAUUUGGAAGCUGGGAUUGGCCCCUAUGAAGAGGGGAGGAGACAAGAAGCCACUAUAAAAGCCCUGAAUUUCUGGGGCUAAGGAAGUCAACUCUAAGAAGGAGUUGGACUUCAAGAGGGAAGUCAGGCUCAAGGAAGAAUGUCAGCCUCAGGAAUCACCUUCAGCUUGAGUCAUUGUCUUGACCUGCCUCUUGGAGGGAACUUGGGUGAGUGGAUAGCUGGCUUUCCCUUCCUGUCUUCUGGAGAGAGUUUAACUCCAGUUGAAGGUCAACAAGUCCUGGCUGAGUUGAGGAGGGGAGCAAAGUUUAGUUAGAUAAGCUAAUGUCUUCUCUACCCUUUUGUAUUCCUCUGCUUUCACUCUUUCCACCUCAUUUGUAAAUAAAAGCUAUUAAAGUCAUUUUGACUUUGAGCAAUAAUAAUACUUUGAAUCAGCAACUACAAUUAUUAUUUAUAAUUUUCACAUAUUUUAGUCAAACCACUGAUUUUUAAUCCUUACAGUUGUGAGGCAUGAUGGGAAAAUGGUUGCCAACUCUGGGAAGUAGGGGAGGCUUUAAAGGAUAAGGAGAAAUUCAAAUGGUAAAGUAAGGAAGAGAAAGGGCAUUUGAGGCAGAAGAACAGGAGAGGCAUUAAGGCAGGGGAGUAUAGAGUAUGUUUAGGGGAAAGUAAAGCCUAACUAACAAAUGAAUUGCUGCCUGCACUAUGGCCAGAGUUCUUCUUCUUCCUCUUCCUCCUUAGUCUUAAGAUUUCUUUCUGGUUCUCUGAGCUCUUGCCUGGAACCAGGCCCCUCUUUCCUAGCUUCUCUAUAUGGGUUGUCUUUCCUUGUUAGAAUGUAAGUUCCUUGAGGGCAGAAACCAUCUUGUUUGCUUGUAUAUGUAUUCCCAGUGCUUUGUUUAAUAAAAAAAAAAACAACACUUAUUAAGUGCUUUCUCAGAGCAUUGUAUUAAGUUUUAGAGAUAUGGAGAUAAGCAA